rnacentral:rRNA from 1 species
AGAGUUUGAUCAUGGCUCAGGAUGAACGCUAGCUACAGGCUUAACACAUGCAAGUCGAGGGGCAGCAUGGUCUUAGCUUGCUAAGACCGAUGGCGACCGGCGCACGGGUGAGUAACGCGUAUCCAACCUGCCUUACACUCUUGGACAGCCUUCUGAAAGGGAGAUUAAUACAAGAUGUUAUCAUGAGUAAGCAUUUUCACAUGAUUAAAGGUUUACCGGUGUAAGAUGGGAUGCGUUCCAUUAGAUAGUAGGCGGGGUAACGGCCACCUAGUCUUCGAUGGAUAGGGGUUCUGGAGAGGAAGGUCCCCCACAUUGGAACUGAGACACGGUCCAAACUCCGUACGGAGGCA